rnacentral:rRNA from 1 species
UAGGGAAUCUUCGGCAAUGGGGGGAACCCUGACCGAGCAACGCCGCGUGAGUGAAGAAGGUUUUCGGAUCGUAAAGCUCUGUUGUUAAGGAAGAACGAGUGUGAGAAUGGAAAGUUCAUGCUGUGACGGUACUUAACCAGAAAGGGACGGCUAACUACGUGCCAGCAGCCGCGGUAAUACGUAGGUGGCAAGCGUUGUCCGGAUUUAUUGGGCGUAAAGCGAGCGCAGGCGGUCAAUUAAGUCUGAUGUGAAAGCCCCCGGCUCAACCGGGGAGGGUCAUUGGAAACUGGUUGACUUGAGUGCAGAAGAGGAGAGUGGAAUUCCAUGUGUAGCGGUGAAAUGCGUAGAUAUAUGGAGGAACACCAGUGGCGAAGGCGACUCUCUGGUCUGUAACUGACGCUGAGGUUCGAAAGCGUGGGUAGCAAACAGG